GUUCUUCCUCAGUCUUUCCGAUAGAAUCACGCAACGUAUCAACGUUCUUAAAUGAGUUUUCGUCCCUCCAAAUUCCAGUGGCGACUGUUUGUCCUGCUAAUGUCCUUACAGGCGCUAGCCGUUAUGGACACGCCGAAUAGUCACGCGGUUGAUGCUUCCGUUUUACAAACCCUUUUUAAACGCAGACCGUUCGAUUACAAAGGUGGGCAUUACGAUAGCAUUCCCAAUCGCGGCUUUAUAAAAGGACACUUUCGCCCCGAAGAAUACCAAUACGGUCCUGACGAAAUACCUUUCAUAUUCUACAGUUGAUUUGUGUACCCGCACUAUGAAAGGGUCAGUUCGAGCCAUCAUGAGACACAUAAUCAACUGAACCACACUGCCAUACUAGUUUCUCUCUAUAAAAUUCAAUCAAGCCACGUACAAAAUCAACUCUUUAAAGGCUUUUAAUCUGAAAAAAUAAUGCUGUACUAAUACGUGUGUAUUGUUUAUAUUUGUAUCGGGACAUAUACAACGUCAAGGCUU